CAGCCGCCGCGGUAAUGCGUAGGGUGCGAGCGUUAAUCGGAAUUACUGGGCGUAAAGCGUGCGCAGGCGGUUGUGUAAGACAGGUGUGAAAUCCCCGGGCUUAACCUGGGAACUGCGCUUGUGACUGCACAGCUAGAGUAUGGCAGAGGGGGGUGGAAUUCCACGUGUAGCAGUGAAAUGCGUAGAUAUGCGGAGGAACACCGAUGGCGAAGGCAAUCCCCUGGGCCUGCACUGACGCUCAUGCACGAAAGCGUGGGGAGCAAACAGGAUUAGAUACCCGCGUAGUCCCUGUCUCUUAUAC
rnacentral:rRNA from 1 species